rnacentral:lncRNA from 1 species
CAAGUAUAAAAAGCUUUGCCGAAGAAGCUAAGCAUUUAUUUUUUUUGAACUUGCAAAGUAAAACCUGAAGUUGUGGUGAUGCUCUCUUUAAAUCCCAAAGAGAAGCUAUCUCAGUUUUCACGAGGUUGCUCCAAAGAUAUGGAUUCGCUGCUGAACCACAGCUCUGCAGCAAGGACAAGUGACUUUGCCUCCGCCACCGUUGUUGCUCGAGAAGAAAUUAUCGCUGCAACUACCACACACUACUUGAUGCGCACACGGAAGAAACACCACCGAGACUUCAUCUUUCAUACAGAUUAUGCAUUCCCUAUCAUUGUUUGCUUCACUCUCAUAAGACCCUUCAAGCCUAUCUAGUUCUUCAAGCAGCUUAGCUAUGUUUUCUCCUUGAGAUCUUUCGGGUUCCCAAACAUUGCUGGAUAAGUGGCUUGAGUCAGUAUCUGAAGAGGCUUUGAGCAGAGACAGCUCUUGCUCGAGCCUUUGGUGAUCGUCUUUGCAAAACAAACCAAACCAUUUCGAGUUUUUACUUAUUUGUUUCCUUCUACUCUAAUUGAAGAUAACCUUUAACAAGAUUAGGUCGAAAAUGUUUCCAUCACGAUCACAAUUUUUUUUUUUGUACAUCGUAGAAAACCUUUUUCCAAAUAAAAUAAAAUACCAAGUAUAAAAAGCUUUGCCGAAGAAGCUAAGCAUUUAUUUUUUUUUUGAACUUGCAAAGUAAAACCUGAAGUUGUGGUGAUGCUCUCUUUAAAUCCCAAAGAGAAGCUAUCUCAGUUUUCACGAGGUUGCUCCAAAGAUAUGGAUUCGCUGCUGAACCACAGCUCUGCAGCAAGGACAAGUGACUUUGCCUCCGCCACCGUUGUUGCUCGAGAAGAAAUUAUCGCUGCAACUACCACACACUACUUGAUGCGCACACGGAAGAAACACCACCGAG